ACUAAUUAAAAAUAGUCCAAUUCUGAAACUUGCACUAAAACCGCUAUAUAAGAGGCCGAGUGGUGCAAAAGUCAUGCAUUAAAACAUACCGACAGUACUACACAACAUAGAACAUGACCAACUGUAAAGUAGCUGGAGUGUUGUGCCUCCUAGUCUUUUUGGCUAUCUAUUCUUGUUCGCGCAAUGCACAAGCAAUUCAUGGAGUACAUCACUGCACCAUCGAUAAAAAUAACGUGAUCCAAGACUGCUCGGGUUUCAUCGAAAAGAAUCUUGGUAACCAGGUUCCGCAACCGUGGACCCUAUGUUGUGUUACAAUGAGAGGUGUGACGGACAUCCAUUGUGUUUGUGAUCGGUUCACCGCUCACGAACUGACUAGGAUUAGUCUACCCAAGUUCGCCCGUAUGACACAUGUAUGCGGCAAAGGGUUGCACCCACACACUCAUUGUGCAGGUUACCUUGUUCCAGUCAUAAAGCUACGACCUCCACCCCUGGCAAGUACCUAGGCCUUCAGUGUAAGAACAUUCCCAUAAUGGGAAUAAUUGAAUAAAGCAAAGAACGAUGUCAGCUGAAUGGCAUUUGCAUAAUGUAUUUGUCCUCUUUUGGUGUGUAAUAAAAAUAUUGCGCAUAGCCUCGUCAA